UUUUUAGAGAGUUUGAUCCUGGCUCAGGACGAACGCUGGCGGCGUGCCUAAUACAUGCAAGUCGAACGCAUUUUCUUUCACCGUAGCUUGCUACACCGGAAGAAAAUGAGUGGCGAACGGGUGAGUAACACGUGGGUAACCUGCCCAUCAGCGGGGGAUAACACUUGGAAACAGGUGCUAAUACCGCAUAAUUUCAUUUACUGCAUGGUAGAUGGAUGAAAGGCGCUUUUGCGUCACUGAUGGAUGGACCCGCGGUGCAUUAGCUAGUUGGUGGGGUAACGGCCUACCAAGGCUGCGAUGCAUAGCCGACCUGAGAGGGUGAUCGGCC
rnacentral:rRNA from 1 species